ACUGAGGGUCCAGCCUUCGUUGCUGCUCGCCGCCCAACCUGGAGCGGGAAAGGGCGGUCCCAGGAUCUAAAGGCCCGCAGGUCUUCCUCUCUUCCCCAACACUCAUCGCCCAGCGAGGGUCCAGGGCGAGGGAAGCAGACCCAGCGGCCCAGCCCGGCGCAGCCCCGUCCCUCCCCUCAACUGCGCGCCCGACCAGACCAACCCGGCCAAGCCCCGGACGCCUCCUGCGGCACCUCCGCCCACUCCCCGGCCCCUCCAGGGUUCCCGGACUCCCCGGCAGCGCCCCGUCCGCGACUCCGGAUGCCGUCGCCGUGAUCCCGGACCUCUCCGCGUACCUCACGCCUUGGCCUGGCGCUGGCGCUCUCGCCCACCGGGGAUUCCCUCCCAGCUGCGCCCGAGCCCUCAAUCGCGGCCGCCCAGAUCCUUGCCUUCCAGAGUGAGGGCCCGGUUCAUCCCUGGGCGCCGGCAGGUGGCGCGAGACCCUCCAGGAGCCGCGGCGGCGCGAGCGCAGGCGGGCACGGGAGGAAGGCGGCCCAGGGGUGCCGAGCCUCCGGGCGGGAUCGAAGAUCCGCUUCCUUCCUCUCGCCCCAUCAAUGGCCAGCGACGCCUGCCGGAGGGAGGGAGCCCGCGAGGCCAAGGAAACGUGCUGAAAGAGGCGCAGCUUACGCGAAGCCGACCUUGACCUCGUGACCUGCCGCCGACGCAGGCAGGUAGUGCAGUCAGCUCCUGCGGCGCGGCCCACAAAGGUGGUGCAUUUUGUGAAACCAAGUUUUCAAGGAAACCCUACUGUCAGGAGAACAUUCGCUUUGCCUACAGCCCCAAAAGAGGAAAGAGAAGAAUCGAAAAUUUUCUGAGCAAUGAAAACACGUUCUUUUUCUUCGCUCCCCCACUGAAUGAACGCUUCUGCCUGCUGGCUCAUAGCUUUCUUUGUACCAGAGCUAUGAAUUUCCUGCCUAUUCAGUGGGAUGAAUGAAUGAACAACACCAUUAAUUUUACUAAGCACUUAAGAAACAGCUUAAUAUCUGCACUCAUGAAGAUCCAGCAAAACACUCUGAACUAUAAAACGAUGACUAAGAUAAAUAUUAUAGCAUCCAAGUUUAGGGUAUAAAGGGUAAGUAUCACAGUGGCCUCUUCAGGUUUAUCAAUGAAGCAACUGAGGCAUCUACUUCUACCUUGACUUAAGGAGGUUUUUUUCCCUGAUGGCUUGAAUUUGAAUUUCUGGAUUUUGGUCUUCAUUUAUGUAAUUUUUUUUUUUUUUUUUUGCGGUACGCGGGCCUCUCACUGUUGUGGCCUCUCCCGUUGCGGAGCACAGGCUCCGGACGCACAGGCUCAGCGACCAUGGCUCACAGGGCCCAGCCGCUCCGCGGCAUGUGGGAUCUUCCCGAACCGGGGCACGAACCCGUGUCCCCUGCAUCGGCAGGCGGACUCUCAACCACUGCGCCACCAGGGAAGCCCCAUUUAUGUAAUUUAACCUUUAUUCAGCAAAGUUCUAAAUAGGCCAUGGGUGGACUGCUGACCUAAGGAGAGAAGGCAGUUUUGAGAGAAUUUUUAGAUCACAGCAGUGCAUUGGUGGUGCCCCAGCCCAGUGCCAUGUAAGUUACAAGAUGUUAGGGAAUAAGUAGACUUGCUGGGAAUGGGGCCAGCCUGUCAGGUGUUUUUGAUGUUAUGCCAUUUGGAUUUAUUGUGCAGAACUUUUUCAUUGAAAACCAAGUACAGAUUGUAAAAGCUUCUAUAAAAAUGGUUUCAUUUAGGUAGUUUCAAGUGGCAUUACCUGCCCACCCACAGUGACAAUUUGGGAGCUGAAUGGACAGCGUUAGGUGCUCUGGCUGUACCCAUCAACCUAGUGAUACUUUCUCCUACACGCCAAAAACUUUUAUAAUGUUUUUAUAGAAUCAUUUUUCAAGCUAGUUAAGCAAAUUGUCUUUGAAAUUAGAAAUUUCAGUGAUUCUCCACUCUUAUUUUUAAUUAGAAAGAAAAAGCUAUAAAUGCAUGAAUAACUUUUUUCAACCAAAGGAAGGAAAGGACAUAUUGGCUUUUCUUUUUAUGCAAUUCAAAAAUCUAUACCUUUAUGCCCAUUCCUCCCCAACUUCAGUUAAAUAAGACAUCAUAGAUAGAGCCUAACAUUGUGUUUGGCAUUUGGUAAAUGUUAGCCUACUUGCUUGUAUCCUCCCCCCACUCCCAAUUUUCCCUUAGAUCCUUCAGAUAUUCCAAUUAAAGCAACUUUUUACUGGC
rnacentral:lncRNA from 1 species